rnacentral:rRNA from 1 species
UACAGAGGGUGCAAGCGUUAAUCGGAGUUACUGGGCAUAAAGGGCGCGUAGGCGGACAUUUAAGUCAGGUGUGAAAUCCCUGGGCUCAACCUAGGAAUUGCAUCCGAUACUGAAUGUCUAGAGUAUGGUAGAGGAAAGUGGAAUUCCCGGUGUAGUGGUUAAAUACGUAGAUAUCGGGAGGAACACCAGUGGCGAAGGCGGCUUUCUGGUCCAAUACUGACGCUGAGGCGCGAAAGCGUGGGGAGCAAACAGG